UACGUAGGGGGCGAGCGUUGUCCGGAAUCAUUGGGCGUAAAGAGCUCGUAGGCGGUUCAGCAAGUCGGCUGUGAAAUUCCGAGGCUCAACCUCGGAACUGCAGUCGAUACUGCUGUGACUCGAGUCCGGUAGAGGAGAAUGGAAUUCCUGGUGUAGCGGUGAAAUGCGCAGAUAUCAGGAGGAACACCGAUGGCGAAGGCAGCUCGCUGGGACGGUACUGACGCUGAGGCGCGAAAGCGUGGGGAGCAAACGGG
rnacentral:rRNA from 1 species